ensembl:snoRNA
UGCCCCCUUCUCAUUUUGCCAAUUGGACUAUGUCUUAAUUGGUCAUACAAGUGGGACAAAGGAAGCGUCCUUUUAAAACUCAAGCAAACUGGAUGAUUGUCUUAUAUCCUGUCUGAGGAAAUAAUG